CUCGAGCACCAUCAUCCUGGCAUGCAAUCCAUGGCCGCCUCCCCAUGCAGUCCCUUUCUUGCUGCCGGCGGAAAUCCUGUCAAUCCCUUCCUCUUCUCCUUCUCUUCCUCCAGUGAUCUUUGCUGGAUCCUGCCGCCGUCAACACCAGGCAUCGGAACCCCGGCCCUGCACUCCAUCACCGCGCCCUGUCUUCUUCUCGCUGCGGCUGCUCCACAUCGCGUCCGUCCACCGUCGUGAUGCCCUGAACUCGCCUGCUUUCCCCAACCGCUGCUGGUUGACCUUCUCGCAAAGGCCAGCUCGACCUUCUCAAGGAAGGUUACUUCCGAGGAUCCGGCUCGCAAGGUGCACACCAUCUCGUCCUAGUUGCUGCUGUGUGAAGAUCCGCUGGCCUGAAGACGCAAGAGACCUAUUUGCCCAGCAAAAUGCUGCACUUUUGGUGCAAAACCGUCAAAGAUGAACUCAACAAUCUCCGAGGCGACGGCACAACCAAAAAGUACGAGGAGUGGGACCGUGUGUACCGCUAUGACUACUACAAUGACCUCGGUGAGCCGGACAAGGGCUAUCCGCGCCUGGUUCUCGGCGGCACCCAGGAACUCCCCUAUCCCCGUCUUGGCAGAACUGGCCGACCCCCAACAAAAACAGACCCUAGAUUGGAGAGCAGAAUUCCUCAGUACAAGAUACAGGAGGCCCUCAACAUCACUGUCUCGCGUGAUGGUAUUUAUGCAUCUUCCUAGUUGCUACGGCAAUGCUGGAUUUAAUCAUCCCAGGAGAGAAGAAGCAAAAAGACAAUCAAAGUGUGAGAGAACACGUACAAUGAUGAGAGGACAAAAAAUGUGUGGUGGUGAAUAGCUCCACCGCAUUGCCAUUUGACCCCAUUUUACCCAUUUAGCCAGUGUCCUCUUCAAAGUGUUAAUCUUUAAAGAUAAUGGAACCAAUUUCUUUAGUAUGUGCUUACAAUUGCAAC